rfam:Ricinus communis cultivar Hale ctg_1100012360068, whole genome shotgun sequence.
AGACCAUGGUGUGGACAGCAUCUCAACAAGUCCUUGUACCUUUUCCAAGCAUCAUACAUGCCCUCAUCAUCCAUCUGCACAAAAGAAGAAAUGUCAUUCCUCAAUUU